rnacentral:rRNA from 1 species
GACGAACGCUGGCGGCGUGCUUAACACAUGCAAGUCGAACGGAAAGGCCCUGCUUUUGUGGGGUGCUCGAGUGGCGAACGGGUGAGUAACACGUGAGUAACCUGCCCUUGACUUUGGGAUAACUUCAGGAAACUGGGGCUAAUACCGGAUAGGAGCUCCUGCUGCAUGGUGGGGGUUGGAAAGUUUCGGCGGUUGGGGAUGGACUCGCGGCUUAUCAGCUUGUUGGUGGGGUAGUGGCUUACCAAGGCUUUGACGGGUAGCCGGCAUGAGAGGGUGACCGGCCACAUUGGGAAUGAGAUACGGCCCAGACUCCUAGGGGAGGCAGCAGUGGGGAAUUUUGCACAAUGGGCGGAAGCCUGAUGCAGCAACGCCGCGUGCGGGAUGACGGCCUUCGGGGUGUAAACCGCUUUCGCCUGUGACGAAGCGUGAGUGACGGUAAUGGGUAAAGAAGCACCGGCUAACUACGUG